UAUUUCUGUUCCUUUGGCCAUGCUAAAGCUUGUACAGGCUUCAGAGGCUUCUUUGUAGUCUACGCAACAACCUGCAGCUGUAAACUGUCCCGAUCUAACCGUGGCUUGUACUCUCCGAUCACUAGAUAAUUAAUUAAUUCACUAGAUAAUUAUCUAGUGUGAAUAGACGUACGGCAGGCUAUGACAGUGAAAGGCAAUGGUUACAAGGAGAGUCUAUUUCCUUACUGUAUAAAGUACAUACAGAAGCAAACUGUUGUCUGUUCGUCUUUGCGCAUGCAGCAGGGUGUUUACACCUCAAGAUCUUGGAAGAUCCUGGAAGACCACCACAGCUGCCAAGAUCUUGGCUUGAUUUUGUAGUAUAUGUAGACGGUACAAGCUCACUUGGUUUACACAAGGUGUUCCGUAAUUUCUUGCCAUGUAGAACCCCAAGAUCUUUGUCAACUUUACUGAAAUUUACUCUUGAGUUAACAGAUGCCAUCAAGAAAUGCUGAACGUCUAAGAACAGCAAGAUAUUCCAUGUUCUUACCAAGAAUGUAUACAAGCAUUGAUUUAUACUUUCAAACUGUAACAAUUAUGGCCUGUAUAGUCUAGCUAUGUGUAGUGAAGACAAAUGUAUGAUGUAUAGACUUACAUGCUGUUGCUCAUACAGAUAGACUGGCAUUUUUACUGUUCUAAAAAUUUUAGAGCACAUAUACAGUAUAUUGCAGCUAGAUACUACUAGUAAAGUUGUAGCGUUAAAUUAUUAAUAUCAAAUA